rnacentral:rRNA from 1 species
UGCCGCGUGUAUGAAGAAGGCCUUCGGGUUGUAAAGUACUUUCAGUCAGGAGGAAGGGUGUGAAAUUAAUACUUUCAUGCAUUGACGUUACUGACAGAAGAAGCACCGGCUAACUCCGUGCCAGCAGCCGCGGUAAUACGUA